rnacentral:rRNA from 1 species
AUACGGGGGGGGCAAGCGUUGUUCGGAAUUACUGGGCGUAAAGGGCGCGCAGGCGGCCCGGCAAGUCCUACGUGAAAUCCCACAGCUCAACUGUGGAACUGCGUGGGAAACUGCCAGGCUUGAGUCCGAGAGAGGAGAGUGGAAUUCCCAGUGUAGCGGUGAAAUGCGUAGAUAUUGGGAGGAACACCGGUGGCGAAGGCGGCUCUCUGGACCGGUACUGACGCUGAGGCGCGAAAGCUAGGGGAGCAAACGGUAGUAGAAACCCCAGUAGUCC